UGUUGUUACCUUUGGAUAAUCCUGUUUAGAUAUUUAGUAUCAAUACGCUCAUAUCAUUGUCAGAUUUAUAAACUGCUUUUAUCUUCAUUUACCGACUGAUAUUCUUACCGGUCAGAUUACUGAUAUGUGUACUUUUAACUGUGUUAUGGUCACAGGACCUUGGGGUGACAAAGGUCGGUCACAUAAAGAGAAUCCUUCACGGCAUCAGAGAGCUCAACAGGAACAGCAGCGCCAGCGAGGCCUAACAGGUGAAUCCUCAGAAACAGCUGUCUGCUCCCCUCCUCCUUCUACUGCCGUUGCUCGCUGACGUUGCUUGACCUCCAGCCUGCAGGCCGAUCUACUCCCAGAACCAGAUAACCCAACAGUGCCUUGUUAUCUUACCCACCAUCAGGGCUCACCUACAAGAUCCAGACUCGAGCUAAUCUAUAGACCGCACCACCAGCUGCAGGUUCUGGGUUCUACCCGGUUCUCCUACCUACAGGAUCCUCAGGUUCUUGAUGUUUGGACUUCAGAGAACAAGCUCAAGUUUAGAGGGCUCAGGACCUCUGAAACAACGCAUGCUGUCUCUCACCUGAGCAGCCGGCCAAUCAGAACCGCCCGUCUGUCGUGUUCCGAACCCUUUAAGGCAUUGCAGCAUCCCCGUGUUUCUUCUUUUAAACUAAAACCCAUAUUUAUUUCUUCUAAACCUUAGUUGAUGUUUCGAUUUUACUUUCUAAACAGAAGUGUUGAAUACUGACGAGAUGACGUGUACCAACCUGGUGGUCUGACAAGCUGUCUUGCUCUUUCUUUGUCUCUGUCUCUCUCAUUCUGUCUUUCUGUCUGUCUCUCAAUAGAAACGUAUUGUCUCUUUUAAGAACAAACAAUGAGGGCGUUAAUCAGAACGUUGGCGUGUUGUUGUUGUUUAUUUAUAAAUCAUUAAUCACAUUCGAUCUUUCUGAAGCCUGCUAAACUGAAGUCCUAACUUUUAUCAAAUAAAACGUUUACACGUUUCUGUGUCUGUUUCAUACAUUGUCUCUCCAACACAAAUCGACCAAACAAUCGAUAUAAAAAUCAUUGAUUUUUGACGUUACUACUUUGAUUAUUGUGCCUUUAAACUAGUUUCUCUUAUUACAGAUUGAUCCUUGUUUAUUUUUAGGUUUUAACUCUGAAAAUAUGGAUGUUGUCAAAGUGUCUAAAUCAAUGAGCUUCUAUCGAGGAUGAAUAAAGAUCUAUCUGAACAAAAC
ensembl:lncRNA